rnacentral:lncRNA from 1 species
AAAAUAUAACAAAUAUAAAUGAUAAAAAAAAAGGUUUCGCGGGACGAACCGCGGAUCUCACACAUAUACCUUAGAGAGAAUUUGCCAAAACUAAAUCAUUAAUACUAAAUCCAUUUGACAAUUAUUCGUAUGCUAACAUUAAAUGUCUCUCUUGUUCACAAAUGUCCUUUGUAAAGUUUAACAUAUUCGUUGCUGAUGUCCGUCGUUGUCAUCUAUCUUAUAUGUCAGCCAUCGUCAUCAUCCAUCAUCUGUCACCUGUUGUCUCCAUUGGGCUUGCCACCUCAAUGGGACGAGUUGUUUCCAAUGUUGUUGCGCUUACAUUUUUGUUGUUUUUCUCAGACACUAACAAAUUAUUAACUUUUUCUUCUUUGACUGUUGACUACCCUCUUUUGACUCUGACUUUCUACUGGCUGACUAAUCUUUUCAUAUUUAUUUGAUGUCUUCAAAGGGAACUUUCCCAGGGUAUUUCUAGAUGAAAAUAACUUGUAGUUCCUCAUCAGUUAUGACUAAUCUUUUCAUAUUUAUUUGAUGUCUUCAAAGGGAACUUUCCCAGGGUAUUUCUA